rnacentral:rRNA from 1 species
UACGGAGGAUGCAAGCGUUAUCCGGAAUGAUUGGGCGUAAAGCGUCCGCAGGUGGCACUACAAGUCUGCUGUCAAAGACUGGGGCUCAACCCUGGAGCGGCGGUGGAUACUGUAGAGCUAGAGAACGGUAGGGGCAGGUGGAAUUCCCAGUGUAGCGGUGAAAUGCGUAGAGAUUGGGAAGAACACCAGUGGCGAAAGCGCUCUGCUAGGCCGGUUCUGACGCUCAGGGGCGAAAGCGAGGGGAGCGAAUGGG